rnacentral:rRNA from 1 species
AUGGAGGGAGUCGAAGGAAUGUUGAAGAAGAUGAACCUGUCCGAGGCAGAGAGGAGGGGAGUCAAGGUGGGCUGGAAGAGGGCGACGGCGAGGGAGGGAAGUGUGCCAAAGGCGAUGGGGAAGCUGAUCUCGGACAGGCCAGGGUAUGCAGAAGGGAUGGCGAUUGCGCUGGGGCGAGUGUGGUGCCCGAUGAAGAGAUUGGAGGUCAAGGAGAUGGGGGAGAACCGAUUUCUGUUUAUGUUCCAUCAGGAGGCAGGAAAACGAAAGGCGCUCGAGAACGGGCCAUGGACCUUCGGCAAGGAGCUUCUGGUGAUGGAGGAUUUCGACCCUAGGAAGACACUAGAUGAAUAUGUGUUUGAAACAGUUCCAAUAUGGGUCCGUAUUUUUAAUGUUCCUUUGGGAAUGAUGUGUAAGGAAAUGGGGGAG